GGAGGAUAUAGCGGUGCUGUGCUUUGUCUCCUCCCUUUUCUGUCUGUGGCCGCCAUCGAGCAGCAACCAGGAGCCGGCGGUCAGCAUGGCCUGUGCUCGUCCUUUGAUAUCGGUGUACUCUGAGAAGGGGGAAGCUUCUGGCAAAAAUGUGACUCUGCCUGCAGUGUUCAGGGCCCCUAUACGCCCCGAUAUAGUAAACUUUGUCCACACCAACCUGCGCAAGAA